rnacentral:rRNA from 1 species
GACGAACGCUGGCGGCGUGCUUAACACAUGCAAGUCGAACGAAGUGGCGAACGGGUGAGUAACGCGUAAUCAACCUGCCCUUCAGAGGGGGACAACAGUUGGAAACGACUGCUAAUACCGCAUACUGAAGGAGGGGAUUGCGUCUGAUUAGCUAGUUGGAGGGGGAACGGCCCACCAAGGCGAAGGUCAGUAGCCGGUGUUGGAUGAUGGAAGGCCACAAUGGGACUGAGACACGGCCCAGUAUCCUACGGGAGGCAGCAGUGGGGGAUCGUCCGCAAUGGACGAAAGUCUGACGGAGCAACGCCGCGUGGGUGAUGACGGCCUUCGGGUUGUAAAGCUCUGUUAAUCGGGACGCGGUACCGGAAUAGCAAGCCACGGCUAACUACGUGCCAGCAGCCGCGGUAAUAC